rnacentral:rRNA from 1 species
AAGGCGCGAAAAUUUCGCAAUGCGCGAAAGCGUGACGAAGGUAAUCCGAGUGCUUCCCGAAAGGGAAGCUUUUAAUGAGUCUAAAAAACUCAUUGAAUAAGGGGUGGGUAAAUCCUGUGCCAGCCGCCGCGGUAACACAGGUAGCCCUAGUGGUGUCCACGAAUAUUGAGUCUAAAGCGUCCGUAGCCGGUUCAGCAAGUUUCCUGUGAAAUCUCUAGGCUCAACCUAGAGGCGUGCAGGGAAUACUACUAGACUUGGGAGUGGGAGAGGCCAAGGGUACUCCAGGGGGAGCGGUAAAAAUAUUUUGCAUUGGAAUACAAAAUUUUCAGUGCAAGCAUUGCAAUGCUGUAAUCCUUGGAGGACCAUCGGUGGCGAAAGCGCUUGGCCAGAACACGUCCGACGGUGAGGGACGAAGGCUAAGGGAGCGAAACGGAUUAGAUACCCGUGUAGUCUUAGCAGUAAAUUAUGCAGACUUGGCGUUGCAUUCGCUAGAGCGGAUGCAGUGCCGUAGCGAAGGCGUUUAGUCUGCCACUUGGGGAGUACGGUCGCAAGAUUGAAAGAACCUUCUUUCUUGAACUAGCGGCAUGAAAGAAAGAGAUGUUCCUGUAAACUUAAAGGAAUUGGCGGGGGAGGAC